CAAUAGCGUAUAUUAAAGUUGUUGCGGUUAAAAAGCUCGUAGUUGGAUUUCUGUUGAGGACGGCCGGUCCGCACUAUGUGCGUGUAUCUGGUUCGGCCUCGGCAUCCUCUCGAAAGCCGUUUCUGCGCUUGAUUGCGUGGUUCGGACUUCGGGACUUUUACUUUGGGGAAAUUAGAGUGUUCACGGCAGGCAAGCGCCUUGAAUAUAUUAGCAUGGAAUAAUAAUAUAGGAUCUUGGUCCUAUUUUGUUGGUUUCUAGGGCUAAGAUAAUGAUUAAUAGGGACAAUUGGGGGCAUUCGUAUUAACGCGUCAGAGGUGGAAUUCUUGGAUUGCGUUACGACGAACUACUGCGAAAGCAUUUGCCAAGGAUGUUUUCAUUGA
rnacentral:rRNA from 1 species